AUUCUGGUGUUAUUACCAAAUGUUUAGCAGUAUGAAACCUAUAAUAUUAUAUACCAUACUAUAUACCCUAUUUUACUUAUAAAGUUAAUAAUCUGUAAAGUAAUUUGUAAAAAUUUUUUAAUUGUAAAAUUGCUACAUGAGAAGACAAGUUGUUAGAUGAAAUUCAAAUAUUCUCUAUGUUUGUGUUGUGUAGGUCAAAAAAUAAUAAACAAAGAUGAUAUUGAUAGUGAUGACCAAGAGAUUCAUUUUAAGACACAUCAAUCUUCAUCAUCUUUAAAUAAAAAGGAUAAACAUUAUGGAUUUCCAUAAUCUCAAGCAAAUUUGUGACAAAUUCGCUCAUGGCCAAAUCUAAUAUGGCAGCUGGAAAAGGCAAAGGAUCUUUUUAGCCUAACUAAGCUAUACAACUUAAUAAAAGUUUGUGCAUCGACUUCUCACGAAUCAUACACAGAGGCGAUUGUCGAUGCAAUAAUUGCUGAUUCGUGAAAACGGGCAACUUUUGCUUGUCUUAAAGUGCCUUAAAUCCAUCGUUAUAAUAUUACUUUGUUUGUAAAUUGUUUUGAAAAAUAAAUUUAAAAAUAACUUUUAAAUAAA